rnacentral:rRNA from 1 species
UCGAGGAUCUUCCGCAAUGGGCGCAAGCCUGACGGAGCGACGCCGCGUGUGGGAUGAAGGCCUUCGGGUUGUAAACCACUGUCACUCGUUAAGAAAGGGUCCGGCGUCAACAGCGUCGGGCACUGACGAAGGCGAGAGAGGAAGCCACGGCUAACUUCGUGCCAGCAGCCGCGGUAAGACGAAGGUGGCGAGCGUUGUUCGGAAUCACUGGGCAUAAAGCGCACGUAGGCGGUGCCGUAAGUCGGGUGUGAAAUCCCUCGGCCUAACCGAGGAACUGCGCCCGAUACUGCGGUGCUUGAGGACCAGAGGGGUGCAUGGAAUUUCCGGUGGAGCGGUGAAAUGCGUUGAUAUCGGAAGGAACUCCGGUGGCGAAAGCGAUGCACUGGCUGGUUUCUGACGCUGAGGUGCGAAAGCCAGGGGAGCAAACGGG